rnacentral:rRNA from 1 species
AUACGUAGGUGGCAAGCGUUGUCCGGAAUUAUUGGGCGUAAAGCGCGCGCAGGUGGUUCCUUAAGUCUGAUGUGAAAGCCCCCGGCUCAACCGGGGAGGGUCAUUGGAAACUGGGGAACUUGAGUGCAGAAGAGGAUAGUGGAAUUCCAAGUGUAGCGGUGAAAUGCGUAGAGAUUUGGAGGAACACCAGUGGCGAAGGCGACUGUGUGGUCUGUAACUGACCCUGAGGCGCGAAAGCGUGGGGAGCAAACAGGAUUAGAUCCCCGGGUAGUCCACGCCGUAAACGAUGAGUGCUAAGUGUUGGGGGGUUUCCGCCCCUCAGUGCUGCAGCUAACGCAUUAAGCACUCCGCCUGGGGAGUACGGUCGCAAGACUGAAACUCAAAGGAAUUGACGGGG